rnacentral:tRNA from 1 species
GAAAAUUUAGUUAAAUAAUAACAUUAUCUUGUCAAGAUAAAAUUAUUCCUGGGAAUAAUUUUCU